AAACCAACAGGGAUUGCCCUAGUAACGGCGAGUGAAGCGGCAACAGCUCAAAUUUGAAAGCUAGCCUUCGGGUUCGCAUUGUAAUUUGUAGAGGAUGAUUUGGGGAAGCCGCCUGUCUAAGUUCCUUGGAACAGGACGUCAUAGAGGGUGAGAAUCCCGUAUGUGACAGGAAAUGGCACCCUAUGUAAAUCUCCUUCGACGAGUCGAGUUGUUUGGGAAUGCAGCUCUAAAUGGGAGGUAAAUUUCUUCUAAAGCUAAAUAUUGGCGAGAGACCGAUAGCGCACAAGUAGAGUGAUCGAAAGAUGAAAAGCACUUUGGAAAGAGAGUUAAAAAGCACGUGAAAUUGUUGAAAGGGAAGCGCUUGCAAUCAGACUUGUUUAAACUGUUCGGCCGGUCUUCUGACCGGUUUACUCAGUUUGGACAGGCCAGCAUCAGUUUCGGCGGCCGGAUAAAGGCUCUGGGAAUGUGGCCUCCACUUCGGUGGAGGUGUUAUAGCCCCGGGUGUAAUACGGCCAGCCGGGACUGAGGUCCGCGCUUCGGCUAGGAUGCGGGCGUAAUGGUUGUAAGCGAC
rnacentral:rRNA from 1 species